GAUGAACGCUGGCGGCGUGCCUAAUACAUGCAAGUCGAGCGAACGGACGAGAAGCUUGCUUCUCUGAUGUUAGCGGCGGACGGGUGAGUAACACGUGGAUAACAUACCUAUAAGACUGGGAUAACUUCGGGAAACCGUAGCUAAUACCGGAUAAUAUUUUGAACCGCAUGGUUCAAAAGUGAAAGACGGUCUUGCUGUCACUUAUAGAUGGAUCCGCGCUGCAUUAGCUAGUUGGUAAGGUAACGGCUUACCAAGGCAACGAUGCAUAGCCGACCUGAGAGGGUGAUCGGCCACACUGGAACUGAGACACGGUCCAGACUCCUACGGGAGGCAGCAGUAGGGAAUCUUCCGCAAUGGGCGAAAGCCUGACGGAGCAACGCCGCGUGAGUGAUGAAGGUCUUCGGAUCGUAAAACUCUGUUAUUAGGGAAGAACAUAUGUGUAAGUAACUGUGCACAUCUUGACGGUACCUAAUCAGAAAGCCACGGCUAACUACGUG
rnacentral:rRNA from 1 species